rnacentral:rRNA from 1 species
UAAUACAGAGGUCCCAAGCGUUGUUCGGAUUCACUGGGCGUAAAGGGUGCGUAGGCGGUUAAAUAAGUCUGAUGUGAAAUCCCGCAGCUUAACUGUGAAAUGGCAUUGGAAACUAUUUGACUAGAGGAAUGGAGGGGAGACUGGAAUACUUGGUGUAGCAGUGAAAUGCGUAGAUAUCAAGUGGAACACCAGUGGCGAAGGCGAGUCUCUGGACAUUUCCUGACGCUGAGGCACGAAAGCCAGGGGAGCAAACGGG